CCCAGACUCCUACGGGAGGCAGCAGUGGGGAAUAUUGCACAAUGGGGGAAACCCUGAUGCAGCGACGCCGCGUGAGUGAAGAAGUAUUUCGGUAUGUAAAGCUCUACCAGCAGGGAAGAAAAUGACGGUACCUGAUUAAGAAGCCCCGGCUAACUACGUGCCAGCAGCCGCGGUAAUACGUAGGGGGCAAGCGUUAUCCGGAUUUACUGGGUGUAAAGGGAGCGUAGGCAGCAGCACAAGUCUGGAGUGAAAUGCCGGGGCUUAACCCCGGAACUGCUUUGGAAACUGUGCAGCUAGAGUGCAGGAGAGGUAAGUGGAAUCCCUAGUGUAGCGGUGAAAUGCGUAGAUAUUAGGAGGAACACCAGUGGCGAAGGCGGCUUACUGGACUGUAACUGACGUUGAGGCUCGAAAGCGUGGGGAGCAAACA
rnacentral:rRNA from 1 species